AACACAUGCAAGUCGAACGAGAUCUUCGGAUCUAGUGGCGCACGGGUGCGUAACGCGUGGGAAUCUACCCUUGGGUUCGGAAUAACAGCGAGAAAUUGCUGCUAAUACCGGAUGAUGACGUAAGUCCAAAGAUUUAUCGCCCAGGAUGAGCCCGCGUAGGAUUAGGUAGUUGGUGUGGUAAAGGCGCACCAAGCCUACGAUCCUUAGCUGGUCUGAGAGGAUGAUCAGCCACACUGGGACUGAGACACGGCCCAGACUCCUACGGGAGGCAGCAGUGGGGAAUAUUGGACAAUGGGCGAAAGCCUGAUCCAGCAAUGCCGCGUGAGUGAUGAAGGCCUUAGGGUUGUAAAGCUCUUUUACCCGGGAUGAUAAUGACAGUACCGGGAGAAU
rnacentral:rRNA from 1 species